CUUGUCAGAUCAAAUCUGUAGGCGCUUUUGCUUGUUUUUAAAUUGAAGUUAACAAUUUUCAUGUAUGAACACUACCAAGAAAAGAUGGCUCAGGAGAAGCCUGUUGGUAAUGAGUUCAUCAUCUAUCCAUUAAUUAAAAUGAUAGAAAAAAAGUUGAAAAUAUAGAUUGGUUGUGCUAACUGGGGAAACUGAAACGCGCCUGAGCUUAAUAAAUUAUCACUGGCCGGCUGCCAACCAUAUUCAUCGGAUUUAUAUAUACUUCAACGGGUGCAUUAUUCUUGAUGAUACAAAUUAUCUGUUAGGUUAAGUGCAUUGUUUUGUGUUGGUCAGCUAUAUUAUUAAACAAAUUAUGGAGUUAGGUAGUUGAAGCCUUGAAGAUAUAUAUCAAGCCAGAUGUGCAUUAUGGUAAAAUACACCAGGCAAAUACCCCACUUGAAGGGCCUAAGAUAAUCAAGUCACUAUAUAAACUAUAAAGUGGUACAGCAAAGACCAUAGUGUGCCCCAUUCUGCAUUUCAUACUUCAAUUCUCCCUUUUCUCUGCUCACUCUAAUUCUGUUAUCAAAUUUGAUUGCAUUAAGAACAUGGCUGAAGCUCUAUACAGUUGGCAUUCCCCUGCAGCGUUUGGCUUCCAUCACCCUUGAUAAUGUUGAAAGAGAUCUGAGACCAGUCAUAGGUGUUGACACAGAAGCUGCAAACAUCACCCGCAAUCUUGAAGCUGUUCAAGCUGUGCUUGAGGAUGCUGAGAGCAGACAACUGAAGGAGGACACUGUGAGGCUUUGGCUGAAUGAUAUUACACACCUUUGCUAUGAGAUGGAAGAUGUGUAAGAUGAGAAAACUGAAGUUCAAAAAGACGAAUGGAGAAACAAGAAAAUGGAGGUGAAGAUGGCAUUGUUGCCAAGAAGAAGCAUUUUGCUGCAUUUGGUUACUUACCAGUGAACCAAUGGAUUACGAGUGCAAAGGGUUCACAAACAUUUCACAAGCUGUUCUUCCUUUGGUUUACUUUGCUAUCUGUGCUGGAUCUUCUAUCACUCUUAUAGCCCCUCAAGUUCAUUUGGCAAUGGUGCGGCAAAGCGGGCAAACACCCCUAUGUCAAUUACAGCAGACAAAAGAUCAGCUGAUCAGGAGGGAGACUAAAAGAGGAAAGCAAAGCCUGUAACAUCUGCAUUGUCCUUAAAAAGUUCUCUGCGGUAUGCCUCCGGCAAUGCUUCUGAGACGGCGGUGAAUCUGAACUGGGGAGACGAAGUUUGUCAAUGUCGGGCGAGCCCUCUGUGUGAUUUAGUGUUCUCUUGAGGCUUCGAUUUUGAGAGAGCUCUAUGUCCAGCCAUCACUGAGAUAGAGUUGCUGCCUGUGUCUUGUGUCAUUCCUGUGGAUUGUAGCUUCUUUUGUGUCAAUGUGAAGUCAAACCCACAAGCUUUGGUUCCUCCUAUGGAGCAUUAUUUAUGUAUUGAAUUGGAUGUUAUUUGGUUCCUUAGAUUCUCGUGGUCUGUAUUUCAAUUAUGUAGUGAUUUGGAUGAAGAACAUCCUAAAUAGGCUUGCUUGACCCACUUGUCCAGGCUGAUAUCUUCUGAAUAACUUGAUAAAGCAUAGGUAUUUUCAUGUAAAAAAAUGAAAAGAACUGACCGGA